GGAAGGAUCAUUAGCAAGUUCGAGGACGUCUCGACCGGACCCGCGAGGGGACGGCGACGGCGUCCCGACGCAAGGAAGUCGUAGAGGCCGUGCGGGCCGGAAGAACCGGCCGCACGUCCAGCUUCGCUCGUCCACAAACCCUUUCCGCGUACCAUCCCUCGUUGCUUUCCCGGACCCACGGGUCGUUUGAGCGUCCCGUCCGGGAACAGACCAAAGCCAUUUGCUAAGCAGUCGUCUGACGGGAUGGCCCGCAAGCCAUCGUGAACUAGAAAACUUAAAACUUUCAAACAACAGAUCUCUUGGUUCUCGCAUCGAUGAAGAACGCAGCGAAAUGCGAUAAGUAAUGUGAAUUGCAGAAUUCAGUGAAUCAUCGAAUCUUUGAACGCACAUUGCGCCCUCUGGCAUUCCGGGGGGCAUGCCUGUCCGAGCGUCACGAAAACCCCAUCACACUCGUUGUGGUCAUGGCAGCAGUGAGUAGCCUCCAGCGGGGGCGGCCACGCCGCUGAAAGGAAUGGUGCGGAUGAGUCCGAUGGCCGAACGUAGUACUUGACAACCGUCGGCUAAUCGGGCCCUCCAUCUCGCCCUGACGAUGGACCCCCGUCGUACCCUCAAAGGUGGACCUCGGAUCAGGUAGGGAUACCCGCUGAACUUAAGCAUAUCAAUAAGCGGAGGAAAAGAAACCAACAGGGAUUGCCUCAGUAACGGCGAGUGAAGCGGCAAGAGCUCAAAUUUUAAAUCUGGCGUCUUCGACGUCCGAGUUGUAAUUUGGAGAGGCAUCUUCGGGGCGGACCCCAGUCUAUGUUCCGUGGAACCGGACGUCGCAGAGGGUGAGAAUCCCGUGUACGGCUGGCGGUCUCCGCCCUCCACGAAGUGUCUUCUACGAGUCGAGUUGUUUGGGAAUGCAGCUCAAAAUGGGUGGUAAAUUUCAUCUAAAGCUAAAUACCGGCGAGAGACCGAUAGCGCACAAGUAGAGUGAUCGAAAGAUGAAAAGCACUUUGAAAAUAGAGUUAAAAAGUACGUGAAAUUGUUGAAAGGGAAGCGCUUGAGAUCAGACUCGGCCUUCGGCAAACAGCCUUCCUUCUGGUCGGCGCACUUGUCGUCGGCCGGGCCAGCAUCGGUUGGGACGGCGGGAUAAAGACUCGGGGAAUGUGGCUCCCCUCGGGGAGUGUUAUAGCCCCGGGUGAAAUGCCGCCCGUCACGACCGAGGACCGCGCUUCGGCUAGGAUGCUGGCGUAAUGGUCUUCAGCGACCCGUCUUGAAACACGGACCAAGGAGUCUAACAUCUAUGCGAGUGUUUGGGCUUCACACCCUCACGCGUAAUGAGAGUGAACGGAGGUGGGAACCCCUCACCGGGCGCACCAUCGACCGAUCCUGAUGUCUUCGGAUGGAUUUGAGUAGGAGCAUAGCUGUUGGGACCCGAAAGAUGGUGAACUAUGCCUGAAUAGGGUGAAGCCAGAGGAAACUCUGGUGGAGGCUCGCAGCGGUUCUGACGUGCAAAUCGAUCGUCAAAAUUUGGGUAUAGGGGCGAAAGACUAAUCGAACCAUCUAGUAGCUGGUUCCUGC
rnacentral:misc_RNA from 1 species